rnacentral:rRNA from 1 species
CUCAGUUCGGAUUGUAGGCUGCAACUCGCCUACAUGAAGCCGGAAUCGCUAGUAAUCGUGGAUCAGCAUGCCACGGUGAAUACGUUCCCGGGCCUUGUACACACCGCCCGUCACACCACGAGAGUUUGUAACACCCGAAGUCGGUAGGGUAACCUUUAUGGAGCCAGCCGCCGAAGGUGGGACAGAUAAUUGGGGUGAAGUCGUAACAAGGUAGCCGUAUCGGAAGGUGCGGCUGGAUCACCUCCUUUCUAAGGAA